ACCACGGUAGGAUUCAUGACUGGGGUGAAGUCGUAACAAGGUAGCCGUAUCGGAAGGUGCGGCUGGAUCACCUCCUUUCC
rnacentral:rRNA from 2 species